rnacentral:rRNA from 1 species
CAUGCAAGUCGAACGAUGAUCCGGUGCUUGCACCGGGGAUUAGUGGCGAACGGGUGAGUAACACGUGAGUAACCUGCCCUUAACUCUGGGAUAAGCCUGGGAAACUGGGUCUAAUACCGGAUAUGACUCCUCAUCGCAUGGUGGGGGGUGGAAAGCUUUUUGUGGUUUUGGAUGGACUCGCGGCCUAUCAGCUUGUUGGUGAGGUAAUGGCUCACCAAGGCGACGACGGGUAGCCGGCCUGAGAGGGUGACCGGCCACACUGGGACUGAGACACGGCCCAGACUCCUACGGGAGGCAGCAGUGGGGAAUAUUGCACAAUGGGCGGAAGCCUGAUGCAGCGACGCCGCGUGAGGGAUGACGGCCUUCGGGUUGUAAACCUCUUUCAGUAGGGAAGAAGCGAAAGUGACGGUACCUGCAGAAGAAGCGCCGGCUAACUACGUGCCAGCAGCCGCGGUAAUACGUAGGGCGCAAGCGUUAUCCGGAAUUAUUGGGCGUAAAGAGCUCGUAGGCGGUUUGUCGCGUCUGCCGUGAAAGUCCGGGGCUCAACUCCGGAUCUGCGGUGGGUACGGGCAGACUAGAGUGAUGUAGGGGAGACUGGAAUUCCUGGUGUAGCGGUGAAAUGCGCAGAUAUCAGGAGGAACACCGAUGGCGAAGGCAGGUCUCUGGGCAUUAACUGACGCUGAGGAGCGAAAGCAUGGGGAGCGAACAGGAUUAGAUACCCUGGUAGUCCAUGCCGUAAACGUUGGGCACUAGGUGUGG